AUAGCGACUAUCGUGGCAUAUCAAUAAGCGGAGGAAAAGAAACUAACUAGGAUUCCCUCAGUAACGGCGAGUGAAGCGGGAAGAGCUCAAAUUUGAAAUCUUCAAGGUUCUACCUUGACGAAUUGUAGUUUAUAGAAGUGUUUUCUGUUAGUAGAGUGGCAAAAGUUCUUUGGAAUAGGACAUCAUAGAGGGUGAGAAUCCCGUAUUUGGUCAUUCUUUCUAGCUUUGUGAUACACUUUCAACGAGUCGGAUUGUUUGGGAAUGCAGUCCAAAAUGGGUGGUAAAUUUCAUCUAAAGCUAAAUAUUGGCGAGAGACCGAUAGCGAACAAGUACCGUGAGGGAAAGAUGAAAAGAACUUUGAAAAGAGAGUUAAACAGUACGUGAAAUUGUCAAAAGGGAAGCGUUUGACACCAGUGUUGUUUAGUUGAAAAUCAAUUCAAUAGUUUUUGAUUUUAAGUAGUAUUGACUUCAUCAGCUUGCUGCUUUCUUUUCAGGAAAUUAUUGAAUGCACUUUUCAGUUAACAAGUCAACAUCAAUUUCUUUUGUUGUAAAAGGGUAAGAGGAAGGUGGCUUACGCUUCGGCGUAAGUGUUUAUAGCCUUUUACCUCUGCAAUCGGAGAGAUUGAGGACAGCAGCGUAGACUCCUUCGGGGGUUAGAUACACUUGUGCUAAGCUAUAGCCUUGUAUAGACAACUUGUUGACUAUGCUCAGUCAUGUAGCUUACUCGCUUGUGCUAUUUUACCUACGCUUAGGAUGUUGAUAGUCACAGCGUGUAC
rnacentral:rRNA from 1 species